rnacentral:misc_RNA from 1 species
GAUGAAGAACGUAGCGAAAUGCGAUAAGUAGUGUGAAUUGCAGAAUUCAGUGAAUCAUCGAAUCUUUGAACGCACAUUGCGCCCUUUGGUAUUCCAAAGGGCAUGCCUGUUCGAGCGUCAUUUGUACCCUCAAGCUUUGCUUGGUGUUGGGCGUCUUGUCUCUAGCUUUGCUGGAGACUCGCCUUAAAGUAAUUGGCAGCCGGCCUACUGGUUUCGGAGCGCAGCACAAGUCGCACUCUCUAUCAGCAAAGGUCUAGCAUCCAUUAAGCCUUUUUUUCAACUUUUGACCUCGGAUCAGGUAGGGAUACCCGCUGAGCUUAAGCAUAUCAAUAAGCGGAGGA